ensembl:lncRNA
GGAGAGGGGACGCGUCCCCACCGCCGCCCGCUCGCACACGCACGGCACUCCGCCGCCGCAGCGCUCUUGGAGCGGCACCGCGGCUUGCUCGGGGCUCCUCGGCUCGCGCUUCUCUCCUCAGAAAUUCAGGCAGAGCCGCGGCGGAGAGCGGGAAAGGUCCCCCUUCUGGUAGGAUGGGGGUACGGGCGGGAGCGGCGCUCCGGCUGCGAGGGCUCGGGGCCGGGCUGGCGCUGCGUGGACGGCCGCUUUGCCUCCUUUCUAUUUGUUUUUGAUUUUUUCGAGUGGUCUUUCUUCCCCUCCCCCCACCCCCGCCAAGUCCGAGAGGUGCUGGGGAGAGGUGUGUGGGCAGAGCGGCGGCCCCGCUCCCCGCGCGUUAACUUUGCGGCAGUUUGGUGCUGUCUUUAGGGGAGGACGAUGAAGGGCUUUCCGACACGAGUUAUAAAUACGACUCAUCCAUCUCUUGUCAUAAAGAGAUGGGUUCACCCCUGGCUGGCCGCCCCCAAGUAACUUUUCUUUCUCAGAGCCCUCUGUGAGAGGUGAGGAAGCACCACUCGGUAACUCCAUAACACAUCACGGAGGACCGUUCCUCCAACUGAUCGCGCCGCUUUCCCGUUGCAGCUCUGCUGACGGAGGCUCCCACCGCCCCGGCAGAAGGAGCCCCGCUCUGCGGAGCAGAGGAAGCAUCUGUAAUCCACAGCUGCGGGUGCUCCAGCCCCGAGUCCUGAUAAAAUCUACACCUAUGCUUCUGCAUGAAUGAAAACAGGCUGCUGGACCUGACCGAAAUGCAGCUCGUGUUGGUGAAGUUUUGUGGGUGCCAUCGCCCUCCUUCCUGUUGUGCACCCCAGCGCCUGCUCUGCUCACAUCUCCAUCACGUUCACUCCUCGCACACCAUUUGCCCCAGUCAAGGGACACCCCAGUCAAGUGGCAUCCCCAGCUGCCCCACAACAUGGAGGCAGAGACCCCCCAGCUGCUCGCUGGAGGUUCAGCCUCUUGGCCAAAGAGUGAAGCACUUUCUCUGCCAAGUUCCCUUCUCUCAGGGUGCACAUGCACCCAAAGCAGCACUGUACUGACCUCCCUCCCCAUGCUCACCUCACUGUGCCACUCACCCUGCAGAGUGAAGCCAGCAGUACAUACUGUUCAUACAACGUUUUCAGACCACUUCAGCUCCCCUUCUCAAUCUCUGUGGAAGAGCCGUGCAACAGUUUAAGUUGGGACUUGGCAAAGCAAUGUUGCAGCUGCAGAGGAUGCACGAUGCUUAGCAGAGGUGACCUGUGACGUGGGCUCUGCUAGGUUUCACACCUGGAGCAGCACAGGUAGCAACCCGAGGCUUGCAGACGCCACUGGCAUCUGAUGCUUGUGGGUUUGUUUCAAAAAUCAUACUCUGAAUUCCGAUAGAGCUCUGCCUUCCUUCCCUGCUGCUGUAAGUGGAUGCUCCAACACAGAAGGCUGCCAGGCAGGAGUUGUGAAAAUAUGGCUGUACGAUCUUUAAUUCUUUGUUUUUGCAAAGACUGGUUUAGAACAGUGGUAAAGGGACACAACUGUCUUAAAUUAAUCAUUUUCCUAAGUUGAAAAAUACCCUUCUUUUCCCAUAAUUAUUUUCAGUUCAAGAAUUCAAAAAUUCAGCUGCAGUGAAGUUUAAUCCAUCUCUAUAAACGCACAAGAAUGGAAAAACACGCAGCUUUUCAGAGGCUUCCAGCAAUACCCAGAAAUAUGUGUAUAAAUUUCCAAACAGCAAAUUUAAAAAGCCUGCAGAGAAAAGAAGUAAAAAAUCCUGAAUUAAAACUCUCUGUUUGUUAUUGGUGCAUGAGUUAUGCCGUAUCAGAUGUCACCCACUUUCGCUUGCCCCAGAACAACAGCUUGGACAAGUGGGAAAUAUUGGGUACUCAGUGAAAAUGGGGUGUGAUGCAGCUCCACAGCAGUCUCAGGAUGGGAGUCUCUUUACAAUGAACAAAAUGAUUUCUGUCUUUGUAUUUUUCAAAUGUUCCAACACCACAAAGUCGUGCCACAGUAGAUUAAACAGAAAAAUAACAGUUUCUGAAAUACAAUCUCCAAAAAAAUAAUUGCAGGAGAAAUAUUCAUUCCUAGUCCAAUAAAUCCCUAAUUUUAAAUGUCAGCUGCAAAGCAUAAAUCCUUUUAAUAGAUUUCAAACUGCGGUGACAAAGUUGUAAUUGUAGGGUCCAGCCCACUCGAAAGAACUGAAUGCCGUUGCUCUGUAUUAGCCACCCUUCUGGUUUAAUUUCUGUUUUUUUUUUCCAGGGGUUUUGUUUUGCUUUGCCUUGUUUUGGGUUUGUUCUUUUCUUUUUUUUUUUUUUUUUUUUUUUUGGUCCUUGUUUGUUUGUUUGUUUUUGCUGCGGCAUUUUAAUCUCCUCUCUUUUAGGAAUUUUCUGUUACAUUCCUGAGCCUGGUUCUGGAAUACUUUCAUCUCAGAUUGAGCAGAAUCUUGUUUCUGUUCCUCAGUAGAUGUCUGAAGUGCAAAAUCUACUUGAUCAUAACUUUCUGUGGGGUUUACUGCAGGGUAGUCUGCACGUAAAGACCCUGAAGUCAUGUGAAAUAGGAGCCUUGACCUCAAGACACAAUAAAGUUGGCUGGUUUGGUUGUGGCUCAAAAGGUCACUUUUUUUCGGGGGCUGCCUCUGAGUGCUGUUUUAAACUAAUUAUUACCUUUGAUUUUAACUUAACGUUUGUUUAAAAAGAAAGAAAAAAAAGAGAGAGAGGAAAGAAGAAAAGAAAAAGAAGAAAGAAUGAAAAGGAAAUGAAAGGAAAAGGAAAAAACCCUCAGUUACUACUACUUAAACAGUUUGACUGGCAUGUAUAUCACAUUAUGGACAUAUGAAAAGACAAGAUUUCUGCCUGAGGAGCUUAUAGUGUAAAACAGACAGAAAGUACCGUGAAUAAUAAAAGCAGACAGAGCAGAGAUUUGUGUGUGUACGUGGGAAGAGUGGGGAGGUGCGUAGAAACAUAUUCAGAGCUCAGAAAUAUUCUACCAAUUGACACUGAUUAUGAUACUUUUCUUUCUUGUUCUGUUUCCAUGUACGUACGGUAAUAGCUUUGUUCUUCUCUAUUUACCUGUUUUUUCAGUGAGAUAUUCUAUCACAGGAGAUCACCUGCUUUCUUUUUCUGUUCUAGGUUCUAGGACAAUGGGUAACACACAUACAUCUUUAUUUUUCUACUCGGCCAUAACAUAUGACACCGAAAUCCCCCCCUCAAAAUGUUAUAUCUGCUUCCCUUGGCAGGGUUUCCCUAGUAAUCCACAGUGACUCACCACUGCAAAGUACAAUUCUCACUUAACAGAAAAUAAAAAUGAGCUUGAAAUUUUGGACUUCUGACUCUACCAUCCCCUAACAAAUGCCAUCUUUAGGUUUGUUGUUGUUGUUUUGCUUUGUUUCUUAUAUAUAUAAAAUGUUCAGAAACAGGCAAACAAACAAGAUAUUUGGAGUCAACCUCUUUUUCCUUAUGCUCAGCUGCAUUAGGCGAUUGAAAAUGGAAAAAGAAGAAAAAGAGAGCUAAACAGCUCUUUAACAAAGGAUGAACGCUACAUGGGCUUCAUUCUUUUUAGGUGUUGAAAGUGAGAUGCUGUCAGAAAUAGGAGUAUCAGAAAAGGUGACGGAACAAGCCGAGAAAUUACACUGCAGUCAAUCAGCCGGGCCAGAUGGUAUUCAUCCGAGAGUUCUGACGGAACCAAGGACCGGCGCAAGUGAGCUGCUAACAAAAAUAUGUAAUUUAUCAUUAAAAACAGCUACUGUACCAGAGGACUGGAGAAUGGCCAAGGUUGUACCCAUCUCUUAAAAAGGUGCUAAUGAUGAUCCUGGGAAUUAUAAACCAGUAACUCUUACUUCAGUACUAGGAAACUAUUCAGAGAAUCGCUGCACAUAAUGUGCCGAGGCACACAGAUAGCAAGGGAAAGCUGCAGUGCUCCUACUGAAAUCCUCUCAGCUCUCUUGGAACUACACGAAAGAGUUAAUGAACUAGUCAAUAAAGUAGAACCAGAAGACGCAAUUUAUUUAGUGUUUCCAAAAGCUUAUAGUAAAGUCUCUCAGAAGAAAAACCACAGCAGCUCCAGAAUUAAAAUCCAGUUGUGCUGAAAAACUGGCUAGAGGAUGGAAAACUAUAUAUAUUUAUCAGACUGCUUUGAAUCGUGCCUCUUGAAAGCAUUUUAUAAACGCUAGCAGAUGCCCACCUCUUCCAAAUGAGCUGGUUGUACCAGAGGUUAAAGAGCUUACCUGGAAUCGAAGGGACAGCUGUGGCAGAGCCAGGGCUUCGGCUCCGGAGCAGCAGGUUCCAGAGUUGUGCUCGGCUCCCCAAGCUGCGAAAGGAUCAGCAGUCAUGCAAGCAGAGAGGUUAACUCCGAAUUGCCCCUGGGAUCAAUAGUAGCCAUAAGGAUGGGUUUGUCCAACGUGUUCAUUAACCACCUUAAACAUCUUCCAGAAUGAGGAUGGUAACAUUUGUUUUCACUGCUACAGCCACAGCUUGCUUGCUGCUGUUCAGACCUGGCACCCAUUGAUCUAAAUGGGAAAAUUCAUGACAGCACUUGGCCAUUUAUUGAGUUAACUGAAUUUCGGCAAAACCUAAAGAAAUUCCAGAGUAAGCUAGAGAACUGAGAUAGAAUGGCAAUAUGAUGGCAGUCAAAAUUAAACAGACUAUUGCCGAGGAGUUUGUGCCGGAAAAUAUUGUCAAGAACUGAUGGCAAUUAAUUAGCCCGGGAAAAUCUAAGCAUCAUUCACUGAAAAAAAGCUACCCAGCGUACUGCAGUAGCUUAGAAAGCAUACAAAAGCAGAUGAGACACUCAGAUACAUUAAAAACCAAAAAGAUGGUUGAACAUAAAAUAUUACUGCGUGAUUUCAUGAGUAAAAGUUGCAUUUCUGGACAUCCUGUCGUAUUUUUGUCACUGUGUUAUAGCGAAGUGAGGAAACACAGAGAAAUGCAGUAAACAUGAUUAAUGAAACAGGAGAUGGGACCAAGUUAGGAGGUAGACUUAGAAGAAAUCAUUUAAUUUAGAAGCAUGAAGAGGAUGAGGAGUUUUAGGACCACAUAAAAUUUCAGUUGAUGCAGAAAAGCUCAGAUGUUCCUGUCUGUUCUGUUUCAUUUCAGAAAAAAAAUAAGCAGGAAACAUAUUUAAAUGAAUAUAUGAAGGUGUUUUUUGUUGUGUUUUGGUUUUUUUUUUCUCGUUAGAAUAUAUAGCUGAGUCGUGGAAUUUAUUUUUGCAACAGAAGAUCGAGAAAAACAGCUCUGGGGGCGAUUGCUAUGCUUUAGUAGGAAAAAAAAAGGAGGAAAAAAAGAGAUUAGAAACGGGAAACAAAAGCUAAGAGAGGAGGAAGAGUAACUCUGCCAUGUCUCCCCAUCCCCACAGACCCUCUGGCUGUCCCUUCACACAGUGGCUUGUGGAGGAAGAUCCAAGAAACCCAUGACCCAAGCCAUCCUAUGCAACAUGUUUUCCCCUCUAAAACCAUUCCUUUUUCUGACAGAAAUCCAUACAAGUUCUGCUGUGGGUCUCUCCUGCAGAGAGACUCUCUCUCUUGUCUCUCUCUCUGGGGCAGGACGGGGGCAGAGAGGGAAGAGCACAGCCAGUCCAGAGCCUGGUCCUGUGCCAGAGCUGGGCCUGUGCUGCCCGACAUCCCUUCUAUCCCCAGGCACCGAUGCAAUCCCCUGAGAGGGGAAAAAGCAGUGGGAACUCCAUGUGCCUCUCCUGGUGGAAUUUCUCAGCACUUUUUCUUUCCUCGGGAUUUUUCCCAAGAGAAAGGAGUAUUUAGCCUUCACUUAGCUUUACUGAAGUAUUAGACAUUUAUUUGAUUAAGUACAGCAUCUGCAGCCGCACCAGCUAGAAUAAAAAUUACAAGGGCUAUCAAUCCUCAUACUUCAAGGCACGAGCUGAUGGCCAGCUGGGGUCGGGAAGAAAUUCCCCAGUGCUGCCAUGAGGUACAGGGUGCUGCCUCCCGCACCGGGCGCAGUGCGAGGUUGGGGGCGCGGGGCCGGACGGGCCUUGGCCUCAGUGCAGGGAUUCCUUUGUUCCCGGGCUGGGUUUCUGUGCUGCACGAGUUUGUCAUCGUGUCUAAAUCAAGCGUUAAUUAUAAUUCUGAAAAUGCGGGAAUAUUCAUGAAUUCUUAUGUUGGCAAUAACCGUGCGUAAUACAAUACGGACAAAAACAACGUCUGCUGCGCAGCAAAAAGGAAGUUGACGGCUUUGAGCACAAGGCACUUUCUGUUUCCAGUUACCCUCCAGAACUCCUUGCACCCGAGAGUCAACGCCUUGGAGAAUAAUAACGUAAUUGCGAUUUUGUUUUAUGGUAUUCUGACAACAAAUUUGAUUCAGUAGUGUCUGCGCAGUUCAAACAAAACAAAGCACUCCAAGAGUUCGACUGCGCGAUGCUGAUAUUUUUUAUGAGCUCGAAUGUAAUCCAAAGAACGGCGUGAUGGUCUUGAUGAACAUACUUUAAAUAAAAUUUCCUUCUCUGGUUCUCUGGUUCCAUCAGCAUUUUGAUAGAACUCUGAGAGAAAAAAAAACAAAAAACCCCGAUAGCUGCUUUAUUCCUGUCAGGUUCUUUUUGUAAAGCAACUCGCGGAGAUGAUUGCAAGAGUACAUUAAAGGCAUGCAUUUUCGAAGUUAGUCAGUUGUCAAAGUGAUUUUGAGGGUUGACAAUCACAUUUAAGACAAAUAUAGAAAUCUGAAAGAAAUGCUUACAAGCAAUUUCAUAUUCUGGGCAAUGAUUUAGUUUGGAAAUGCAUCCAGUUCAAGGGUUAAAUGAAAGCAAAAGCAAUCACUUCAACCAUGUUUUUGAAGAAAAUAAAACAGCUUGAUGUAAGCUAAAUGAAGGGGGUCUGUGACUUAAAAGGAAUGGACAGAUAGAGAAAAAGGUCAGAAGAUUAAAUUUUCCCUAAGGGAAAAGUCAUUCUUUGGAAUCAUUAACCUCCUUCUAGGUCACUACUGAAAAAAACAGCAGGAAAUCCUACUGCUCCUAGAAAGAUGGGUGCAUCGUAUACCGCCCACUGACCUACCGGCACUGUGGCAAACAGAAUUCUGCUUACACAUUCUCCUCCAGGCGUGCUUGGUUUUAGUACGCCCAUUUUAAAGCAAUAUGAUCUUUUAGCUGAACUCUGAAGUGUAUCCAUAAAGGCAAUAUUCUAGGGGCUCUGGACGUUAAAAAAGAAGAAUCGCUUGUUUAAAUGUCUUUUUAACGGGGAGAAAUCUGGAAGAGGGGUUUACGAAUUAAAAAGUUGGUCAGCAAUAUGUAUCCAUUGUCCAUUUCUCUUUAGGACUAAAAUUAAUCAUCAUCAUAGUUUCAAUGCGUUUUAGUGACUUUUUGAAACCUAAAACACACUGUCAGCGUGCCAGAAGCAGCAGUAUGCCUCAAAGUAUCUCCUUGUCUCAAAGAACCUACAUGAGAGUGUUUCCCUGUUUCUAUUGUAAGCCAAAUCUGCUCCCUCCUAGAGGAGCCUGAGAGUAAACAUUACUCCAAGUAGGAGGAUUGGUAUACAAACACGUACACAUACACGCAUAUGUAUGUAAAUGGUAAGUACUAUUAAAGCAUUUCAAAGACAUUCUGUAGCAUUUAUCAGAUCGUAUUCAGAUGAACAGUCUUACCAGUCUUGCUGGAAACAAGUAUUUUAUCACAGCCAAGCCUCAAAAUAAGUGAGGGAAACUACCUGCAGUCAUUUUGUACCACACGAUACCAUGCAGAAGCAUUCAUAUUUACAUUGAAUGCGACCUCUUUUUCUUCCCUACUUGCCCCAGAAAUAAAACUCCUGAUCAAAAUAAAUGUGGAUUCGUAUUUGCUUUUGACAGAAGCCCCAGUCCAGCCAAGACUGGCAGCAAUUGGACGCCUGUGGCUGUGCAAUGCCCCUCGCCUACAUGGAGACUCCGGGCAAAGUCUGCACCCUCCUGCACAAUCAAUGUCUUCACAUUAAAGGUUUGUACUGCAGGAAACUAAUCUGAAAGCUAUCUUAAAAUCUUUUAUCUUAAAAUCUUUUUUUUUCCUUUUUCAGGAGAAAAAAAAAAAAGUGCAUAUUCAGAAGAGAAUUCUAAUGUAAGAAUUCUUCUGCUAGUAGUAAGACUUCAGCAACUUAAAGCUAUGUUGCACUGUGGAAAAAGUGAGAAUAUUGGCUCAUCUAUUAAGACAUCUCAGAUCUCAGCCCUUCUGAAUGAACAUUGAUCAAUGCUGUUUCUUAAUUUGAUGUAGUCUUUUUUUUUUUCCCAUUAUUUUUUACAUACGUGAAAUUGAAAAAGAAAAAUUGAGCAGGAAUGAUCACAACCGAUUUACUGCCCUGGAAGAAGAAGGUGCCCUGUAUUACUUUGAUUUGUGAAACCGUGCGUUUUAUAAAAAGCCACUUUUCACAUGUAAGCAAGAUCUUUCAAUAUUUCAGAAGACAAUGACACAACCUCUGGAGAAUAAAGGCAUUGAAAGAAGUAGCUAAGAGGAAGACAAACACAGCACAGUUUGUGGGAAUUAGCACCCUUUACAAAGCCUAGAUGAGGGCAGAAACACACUGAAUCACAUUCUUCCAACGCGAUAAUUUUUACUCUUGUUCACACAACUGAAUAGCCAAUAAGCACGAAUCUCCUCCCGAACGCUUGCAGCCCGUUACGCAACGUAAAUUGGGCACAUAGGUAAUGAUUUCACGAUAUGAAGGAAGAGAAUGAUGUGCCUUGCUUGCUUGCUAGCCAAAAUGCAUUUCUGAGGCAGGAAAUCAAAAACACAUCCCAAGCCCUGCAAGUAGACUGCCCGCACUCGCCCUGCUGCCAUUAGAGGCUGUCAGGAGGCUGUCAGCUCCAGGAGCCACCGCCACCCAAGGCAAGGCUGCCCCGGUGCCUCCUCCCUGGGAGCGUGCUUUCUGAUCACCCUUUGCUAACAGACAGUGAGGAAAUAUUGCACUGCUGUUGCAGCUGCUUGGAGAACUCCUCAAAUACAGUGCAAACACCGCACUGAAACAAAGCAACGGGAGAAUGCUGCAGCAGAGACCUCAGCUGAGAGGCAAGAUGCAAGAUUUAUUAUGACACAGUGCAGAGGAUAUCUGAAAGGGAAGUCUAACCAAAGCAUUAAUGUGUCUUUUCCUCUUUCCUUCCCUCUUCCCCCUACCCCCCAUGUUAUUUUCCUUUGCAAUUCCUAUGUAUACAUAUAAAAUUGUUUCUUUUCUCAAGUGAAACGGCAUCUAAAAUGAUGAAGAAUUUUAGGAGGUGACUGUUUCCUAAGAUCUUUUCUACUUGUUUUGUUCUGUGUUCCAGUGUUCUCUACCCACAGGACUCUGAAACGCUGAGAUUUCAGCAGUUCAUAUGUCUGCCUGCCCACCUCUUUUAUUAAAGGGUUGUGUUUCUCUUCUGUCAACACCUAUUCUUUAGCAUACAUCUCUGCUAUCAUUCAGGAAAAUGUUGGCAUAACAUUUUUUUUUUCUUUUUCUUUUUUUCCUUUUAAAUUCAUUUCUGUAGCCGGGCUUUUCCUUUUAAGUCUCCUUCAUUUCUGUCAUCGGUUUCAACCCCAAAGUUCUCACUUUUGCAAGACAAUGCGCUAUUUUCACACGUGUAAAACACUGAGCAAAGUGGAAUCGCAGAUGUCACAUUUACAUGUUUAUGUUUUUUGUUUCUUUUUUUUUCUCUGCCGGUCGCUCACUUCAACUCUCCAAGCCCAAGAUACUGCAGUGGAGCUGAGAUUCCCUGCGUUCCUGCAUGCAGACCUCCAGCUUUCUGAAACGACACUUCUUGGACUGAUUGGUCCAUAAAUCACUGUUAGUGGGAGAGACUUCUCACACUGUGGAUUUUCUCCAUGCGUCCUGACCUUUGCUGUGAUGUGACUUGUCAUAAUCCAGUAGAGAACAAAGUCUGCUUUGUGACAAACCAUUUCACCGACUCAGCAUGUGAAAUACGUAGGCAAGGACAUGGAAAGAAGAUGGUACACCACCGGGGAAUUCUAGCAGGGUGGAAAACCAUCCAGGACUCGUGACCUUGGUACCAUCUAGCCCAGACAAUUCCCUACGCUAUCAAUCUACAUGUAUUGUUUACUAUCUCCAGUGCAGCAGUGUGUUGUUUGGUGCAACUGCUGCCAGUCCCCAUUUCACCCCAGAUAAAUUCCCAUUCUGCUUCCCAUUCUGCACUGAUGGCCAGUAGAGGUGUCUGCAGAAUUUGGCACGUCUUCAAAAGCAAGUAAGAAGAGGGAAGCUCAGACAACCUAGAAGAUAGAGAGUGAGGACACUGGGACAGAGGUUUUCCUCUCCAAGAUGGCACAAAGGAGAAAAAGACUUGACACAGAAGCAGUCAGGUCCUCAGCUCUAAGCAGGUUCACUGCCAGAAACCAGGCAUCAGGGAUUUUACACCGGAGAACUGUGUCAAUAUCUGUGUACUUAGUCACAUUUUCCUGUAAUAAAAAUCCAUUUUAGGCACUCUGAUUCUGAUAAUGUGGGAACUGGCACAUAAUUUAUAUUUCCAAAGCUGUUUUUUUUUCCUGAUUCUGUUUCCCCAGCAUUUUUCAUGAGUAAAUCUCCUUUUUGUCUUUCAGCACUUUUUAUCUUUUAUUUUUUUUCUUCUUUUCUUUUAACCACUGUUUCCAGUGUCCUUCUCCCUGGACUAUGCUCAGCCACAGUGGUCUGGGUUUGUAAUUAUGGCAAAAACUUGUCUCAUGACUAGGCGAUGACUAGAGAUAAUUCCCCAGAAGAAACACCUACAGAUGAAUGCCAUUUCUAUUCUUUUCCUCUCCUUUUGCUCGGAAUUGUCAGGCUGCUGCUCACCCACUGC